CUCCUUCUACCAUGUGGAUCCUGGAGAUCAAACCUAGAUAGUAUGCACAGCACCUUGAAGCACUAUGAAAGCUAACCAGUUGGGAUGAAAACUUCCAGUCACAGGCUUUCAUAACGGGUGAAGAAAAGGACUGAACAGGAGUGAGAGAGCA